rnacentral:tRNA from 1 species
GCGGCGUAGCUCAGCAGUUAGAGCAGGGAACAUCCCGCAAGGGAAUAUCCGACUUCGCCUUCUUAUCUGGCAACCGCCGGGUCGUCAGGAGUUGGUUAUCAUCCAAAUUCCCCGGUCGCGGGUGCGAAUCCCGCCGCCGCUG